ensembl:rRNA 5S_rRNA 5S ribosomal RNA
GUCUACAGCCAUACCACCCUGAACAUGCCCGAUCUCAUCUGAUCUUAGAAGCUAAGCAGGGUCAGGCCUGGUUAGUACUUGGAUGGGAGGAAUAAAGAGAGCAGGGGGCAGUGGGUG